GUCUCUCGCUUUGGAAAAUCUACUACCAUCUGGAGUUUUACACUUGAAGAUACAGAGUUUAAGCGCAUUACCACCAUACCACUGCAGUCCAUAUUACUCUCGCAGAUAGAUGUGCUAUCUGACAAACUAAUAAAGGUGUUCAAAAGGCGAGGAGGACAAAUAGGAAGAAGACUUCAGAACAUUCUGGAGCCCACGGCCCAGGCCACAGAUGAAGCCAUUAUCCAACGAUCUAAUAAGGAAACAACCAUGGGAAUUUACAUCAUAAAGUCAAGAGAUGCCAAUGGCAGCCCUGAGGACAUCGGGAUAGUCCUUGAAGGCCAGAGAGUCUGGCAGGAUUUGGAUAACUAUACCCUAGCAGCUGCAAUGCUGUUUGGACUAAUGUACACUUUGAACCUCACCUACCCACUGGAAAAGUAUACCUUCGAGGUAUUAUAGAAACUGGUUAUGGAGCUCAAAAGGAACAGCCUUUCAAAGAAGGCCCAGGUUUUGUAUGAUUGAACAGUUUUCCAGUUAUGAUGUGGGAACAACAUGUUUACCUCUUCGAAUAUGUACCAUCCUUUCUUUUAAGCCAGCACUGGUAAAGUUGCAGUACAUAGUGAAACUUAUUUUUCUGGCACUUUUCAACUUGGGGCCUUUAUUACUGCAGUUUUCACUUUUCAAGCCAUGGCUCUUUUAAAAAAAUUCAAACUUUGAAUGUCCAUUUUUCUCAAUGGAAAUGGUGCCUUGCACCAAUUUCACCAGUUUGCAAUUUUAUUCCCAAGGUGCACCACUACAAACAGAUUGCAUUGUCUAGUAUUAGUGAUUGUGAUGUUUAGUGAUAGAAGCAAGCCAAUACUAAUCAGUUUAGGUCUCUUGGUUGUGUGCCUGUGGGUUAUGAUGUCAUUUUAAGUCUCUUCUUUGUGUCAUUUUAAUAAUUACACCCCUGUUGCCAUAUUACCUCAUGGCUCUUACAUUUAAAAAACAAUUUUUUACAUAAGCGCGAUGUCAUAAGGCCCCACAAUGUUGAAUUCAGGUUACAGCAGAUAACUUUGAGGAAUGUUGUGGAAUGUUUUUCAAGAGAUGCAUUGUACAAAUAUGACUCAUGUAUAUUUUGGAAGCCUGAAUUGAAAGUCCAUUGUUACAACUGUGUAGUAUUUUCAAAAAUACAG
ensembl:lncRNA